CCUUAAAGGCGCCGCGUCCCCGCGGGUGGAGGGGCCCCGGAGGCCCGUCCCGCUUCCUUCGGCCUGGGUUACCUCCCUCCGGGAAGGCGACAGCGUCCUCUGUGGCCUCUGCCUGCUUCCUCUCUUAUCCUGGGUCCAAUACAUAGGUGCCAGGCAUGGGGCGCUGCCUCCCGGAAGCCUACCGGUGGGGCUGGUGCCGGGACGGGGGUCGCCCACCCUCCUGCCAGUGCAGUGUUCGAGUCUGUGUAGAAGCUUAACGUUUUCAGCCCAGAGACGCGCUCCUUCAGUCUCGAAGGAAAAUGAACAGAGAAGGUGGUACAAAGUUGGAAGCGCUCUGGAAGAAAGAGAGCGAAUACGGGAGCCCGAGGCUGCCAGGACGGCUCCCACCAUGCUGGACAGACCGGUGGAGACGAGGGACCCGGGGCUACACGGCAACCGCCUCACGGGAGAGCCAGCUCGGAGGGUGGCAGCUCAGCCCGGACACUGUGCCCGCGUCCGCUGCCCGCGCGGGACAGGAGUGGCUCAGCCACCGCCUUGCCCCGCCACGUUUCACCACUGUCUCAUUUUCGCGCAUCUGACGCCCAAAGGGCGGUGUCUCAAUCUGGUUGGAGUUGCCUCUCCCUGAUGUAAAAGUGAGACUGAGCGCUUCUCUGCGUGUCUGUUGGGGACCAGGAGAGGAGUUCGAGAGUGAGCUGGACCCUGAGGCCCCGCCUUGGGGCAGCGUGUCCACCAGGACUUGCUGAGCAACAAGGCAGCAUCGUCGCGAUCCCCGCUUCGCAGACGAGGACACGGACGCCCAGCGGGAAGAAUCCGAAGGUCAGCCGAGCUCGCACGCACUGUCCGUCUGCCUGGAGCGAGGCCACCAGCACAAGCCCCGGAGUCCUGAUCUUGCCCCUCCCUGUCGCCCAAUGACUCAGCGGCCGAUGUGGAAUUUGAACCCAGGGCCUCCUGACCCUGCAGAGACAGUGGGAAGAGCAGGUGAGAUUGUGGACUGGGAGGCCAGGCUGCCUGGGUUCAAAUCCCAGCUCUGCCUCCAGAGCUGUGGGACCCUGGGGAAGUUCCUUAACUUCUCUGAGCCUUAGUGUCCUUGUCUGUAAAAUGUUGGUAAGGAUAGUGCCCACUCCACUGGGCUGUUGGGGGAGGCGGGGAGGAUGAAUAAUGGCUCCCAAAGAUGUCCAUGCCCUGGUCCCUGGAAACUGCGAAUGUCAAUUUAUACGGCAAAAGGGACUUUGCCGAUGUGGGUAAGAAUCUUGCGAUGGGGAGGUGCUCCUGGACUGUCCAGGGGGCCCGUGCAAUCGUCUUGAUAAGAGGGAAGCAGAGGGAGCCUUGACACAGAAGAAGGCUGUGUGACACAGGAGCAAGAUGCUACACUGCUGGCCCUGAGGAUGGAGGAAGGGCCCACCAGCCGAGGAAUGCAAAGACCACAGCUGGAAAAGCAGCUGGAAAAGAGUGGCUCAAAUUCAAGGGCCCGACAAUAUCAAGUGCUGACGAGGACGUGGAGCAGCCGGGACUGUCACGCACUGCUGGGGGGAUGUCAGAUGCUCCGACUGCUGUGCGGCGAGUCCUACGUACGUGCCCCACGAGCCAGCAAGUCCACACGGACGGCUUUACCCAAUGGUAAAAUUCGUGUAUUGAAGUCCUAACACCCAUGACCUCAGAACGUGACCUUGUUUAGACAUAGGCCCUUUACAGAGGCAAUUAAGGUUAAGUGAGGUCAUUAGGGUCAGGGCCCUAACCCGAUGUGACUGGUGUCCUUAUGAGAAGAGGAGAUUAGCACACGGACAUGCACAGCAGGAAGACCAUGCGAGGACAAACGGAGAAGGCAGCCACCUACAAGCCAGGAGAGGGGCCUCAGAAGAAGCCAGCCCCACCGACACCUUGAUCCCGGACUUGCAGCCUCCAGAAGUGUGAGGAAAUGGAUUUCUGUUGUUUAAGCUCGUGGGGGUGGAGCGCUAUAGAAAUCCCAUGGAAGGGACACUAUACAAAACCGCAAAUGGACAGUCUGCCCCGUGCGCCGCAACGCGGAGUGACAAAAGCCAGACGGACGCCAAGGAGGGCAGACUGCGUGGCUCUAUCUACACGGAGUUCUAGGACAGGCGAAACCCACAUCUACUGUUCGAACUCAAGAUGGGGAUCAUCCAGGGGGCUAUGACUGGAAUGGGGCGUGAGGGAAGGUCCCAGGGGCUUGCAAUGUUCUGUUUCUUCCCCCCGGGGGCUGAUUACAUGGAACUUUACACUUGGGAUUUGUGGGGUUUACAGAAACAUCUCAGUUAUGGCUCAGUUUGAAGGAUUUCAUGAGGCUGGCUGGGUAGCAUAGUGGUUAAGUUCGUGCACUCUGCUUGGGCAGCCCAGGGUUCGCAGGUUCAGAUCCUGGACACGGACACACUCCCCCGCUCAUCAGGCCGUGCUG